GUUUGCCUACGGGAGGCAGCAGUGGGGAAUAUUGCACAAUGGGGGAAACCCUGAUGCAGCAACGCCGCGUGAGUGAAGAAGUAUUUCGAUAUGUAAAGCUCUAUCAGCAGGGAAGAAGAUGACGGUACCUGAUUAAGAAGCCCCGGCUAACUACGUGCCAGCAGCCGCGGUAAUACGUAGGGGGCAAGCGUUAUCCGGAAUGAUUGGGCGUAAAGGGUGCGCAGGCGGUCCUGCAAGUCUGGAGUGAAACGCAUGAGCUCAACUCAUGCAUGGCUUUGGCAACUGGAGGACUGGAGAGCAGGAGA
rnacentral:rRNA from 1 species